rnacentral:rRNA from 1 species
GUGGGGAAUAUUGGACAAUGGGCGAAAGCCUGAUCCAGCCAUGCCGCGUGUGUGAAGAAGGUCUUCGGAUUGUAAAGCACUUUAAGUUGGGAGGAAGGGCAGUAAGUUAAUACCUUGCUGUUUUGACGUUACCGACAGAAUAAGCACCGGCUAACUUCGUGCCAGCAGCCGCGGUAAUACGAAGGGUGCAAGCGUUAAUCGGAAUUACUGGGCGUAAAGCGCGCGUAGGUGGUUUUGUAAGUUGGAGGUGAAAUCCCCGGGCUCAACCUGGGAACUGCCUCCAAAACUGCAUGACUAGAGUACGGUAGAGGGUAGUGGAAUUUCCUGUGUAGCGGUGAAAUGCGUAGAUAUAGUAAGGAACACCAGUGGCGAAGGCGACUACCUGGACUGAUACUGACACUGAGGUGCGAAAGCGUGGGGAGCAAACAGGAUUAGAUACCCCAGUAGUCC